UGGCGGACGGGUGAGUAAUGUCUGGGAAACUGCCUGAUAGUGGGGGACAACGUUUCGAAAGGAACGCUAAUACCGCAUACGUCCUACGGGAGAAAGUGGGGGAUCUUCGGACCUCACGCUAUCAGAUGAGCCUAGGUCGGAUUAGCUAGUAGGUGGGGUAACGGCUCACCUAGGCGACGAUCCCUAGCUGGUCUGAGAGGAUGACCAGCCACACUGGAACUGAGACACGGUCCAG
rnacentral:rRNA from 1 species